ACCACAAAUCACAGAUUUUUAUACACAAAUCAUAAAGACAUACAUAGUUUAUUAGUAUACCACAGUCACAGAUCCAUCACAUAAACACAAAAGCACCACAAUUAUAUAUUCACAAAAGCAUCACAAUUAUAAUAUCAUUCACAACUAGAUCAUUUACAGAUAGCUAGCUAGACCAUUCACAAAAGCUCCAGAGAUGAUCAGUCACAAAAGAACCACAGCGACAUCACUCCAGCUUGAAGCAGUUCAAAAGCCACAACUACAUCAAUCUAGCUGCUCCAGAGCUGAUCACUCACAAAAGCACCAAAGCUACACUAAUGCUUCAAGCAGUUCAAAAGCCUUCAGACAACCACUCCAACUUCUUGUAUCCUCCUAUUUUAAGGUACAAGCUUUCUUUGUCCAGAACACCCUAUAAAAAAGUACAGCAAAUUAGUGCGAGGCAAAACUUAUGCACCAACUUCAGAAUAUUUAACUACAUCAAAUUAGUGCGAGGCAAAACUUAUGCACCAACUUUUUACAAUCUUCCCUGUUUUUCUAGAAACCAUAUUUUCCUUGUAGUCUAUUCAAACUUGAGGAGGCAAUGUAUGAUUAGAUAAUCAAUACUAUAAUGUUGUGCCUAACAAGACUCGGCUUUGAGUUGGUGAUUAAGAAAACAUUCAGCAUUUCUUUUUAUUUAUAUUGUAAUGACAUAUACAAACCUAAAUUACACAUACCAAAAAAAUAAAAACUACUUUGUAGUAGGAAGCGAAUAUGAUUGCAGACUUACUUGUUCAACACCCCUUAGUACAAGUUUAGCAAUUGGAGAAAGAAUAUCUGAAAUGAACAUUACAAGAAAUAGAAAAUUCAGAAUUCAGUUUCCAGGAAUUAGGAUAGAAAAAUCAUAAUACAAAUGGUUUUCUUUAAAUUGAUAAAAGAAGGAUUACCUUUCUCGGAGAAAGAGUGCAUAGCCUGCUUAAAAACAUGACUUGUAAUGAGACUUUAUUAAGUUGUAGGAACAGGAAAAUAAGUUAUUAAUUUCUCUAAUUUUUCAGAGAAAAAACAAAACAAUUAUCAGUGAACUAAGCUCUAAAAUAAAAAAGACAAUUGGUUUAACUGAGGCUGAACUGCUUGGCAUUGAGCUUAAAGAGGUGGAGUUUGUCCACUGUAAUAGAGAAUAGAUCGUGUAAUAGGGUUGAUCAUGAAUUAGUCCAGCAUGCAUGUAAACAUCUUACAUCGACUGUGUGACACCAAUGACAGGAUCAUCCCAUGGCUUAAGGAGUUGAGCCGGCUUCUACACUGAUUUCAGAUGUCUGUGAAAUUUAGAACUAUGUAAUAGUAUAGCUGGUCCUGCUCUUUUCUGUACCUUAAGGGUACAUUAUUUAGAUUUAAACAUUUUCCUGUGAAAAUUUUAGAUGUCUAUGUAAUUUAAAACUUUGUAAUAGCUUUCAGUACUUUAAGGGUAUAUUAUUUAGAUUCAAACAACAAAGAAGGCACAAUACCUAAAAUAACUAAGUAGUUGUAAGUUAUGACAAUGAUUGACAUAUAUGGUGAAAUUGAUGAGGAAUAGGUGAAUUGAACUUGACAGAAAGUUAAGACAAUUGCUCAUGAGCCCCUUUGCAGAAAGUUAUAUUUGGCUUGUUAUCAUUGCAGAAUAUUUAACUACAUCCACAGAUAUGCCACUUGCAGAAACAAUUGCAGAAUAAUUGCAGAAUCAUUGCAUAAGACAAUUGAAAUAACUUGACAGAAAGAAGGAACAAUUGCAGAAAGCUAUUGCCACUUGCCGUGAGCCCCUUUGCAUAAUGUGGAAAGUAUAUUUGGCUUGUUAUCAUUGUAGAAUAUUUAACUACAUCCACAGAUUCUGCUUUUGAGCUUGCCACUAUUUUUUUACUUUCUAGUAUAUUUUUGUUGUUAGCUCAUGAAUCAUGUUUCUCCAACUUACUUCAUUAUUCUCUGUGGCAGCUGGAAAAUCCUCCAGCCAAAACAGGCUCUAGGCCUUCAAGAAAGGUAUGCAUGUACAAUCAGAUUCAGAAACUAGUGUAAAAAACACUGAAGCUCUAAACUUCAUCAUUUGUUGCAUUCUAGCUUUGCUAAUGUGCUGUGUACAUGUUUCCCUGAGUUUACUUCCCAUCAUAUUAUGAUUGCCCCACACCCCUCAAUUCAUGUUGAUUCAAGCUGCCAUGAGAAAAUUAGGCGGAUUAUGUUUAUACUUGAUUAUAUGUAUUCUUAUGUAUUAUAGAAGUACAAAGCAGAGUAUAGUAGUAUUAGUGUAUUACUGCUGGUAUAGGAUUAUUUUUUUUGCAUAACAACAGUUAUAGAAGCUGCUACUUAUCCUAUGUCCCCUCUAAUCCAAAAGGGGAAUUGUUUAACCAAACUUAACCCCACCCAACCCCAACCAAAACAGAGAAGAAGGAAAUUGCCUCGUAGGUGAAGCAAAACCCUAGCAGAUUAGUACAAAACCUAAUAUGCCUUAUUGAAACAAGCAAGAACUAAAAAUGGUAGUAGAGGGAACACCAUCAGAGCAUGUCCUCAAGUAGGCGAGCAAAGCAUCCCGUCUCCCUAAGGUAAGCGUGAGGGUAGAGCUCUAGGAGUUGUAAGGGUAGGGGGCCGGUACCUUGCCGCUCCCAGACUUCGGCCAUGGAGGAAGUGACAGAGGCAUUCUUGAAGAACCCGCACGUGAAGCACGUACAGGGCCUCCAAACUUCGGCGCCGAUGACCUAGGCGUCACUGAGCAUGUGGUCGCUGGUAGGCGGUGAAGGGAGGCCAGUGGUCGGAGACCGUCCCCCAAGGCGAGGCGCCCUGGUGGAGCGGGCGGAGCACGGGCGACUGCGGGGACGGGGGCGACGACGGCGAUGUCGGGAGGAGACAGGGACAGCGUGGGAGGGAGAGUUUCAGUGACGGCGGCUGCGCUUGUGUUUGGUGCGUGGAAUAGGG
rnacentral:lncRNA from 1 species